UGAGGGAAUUUGCGCAAUGGACGAAAGUCUGACGCAGCGACGCCGCGUGAGUGAUGAAGGUCUUCGGAUUGUAAAGCUCUGUCAGAGGGGACGAGAUAGGACGGUACCCCCAGAGGAAGCCUCGGCUAACUACGUGCCAGCAGCCGCGGUAAUAA
rnacentral:rRNA from 1 species